rnacentral:rRNA from 1 species
CGUGAAUCAUCUACCUUCGAGUGGGAAUAACCUAGGGGAACCGUGGGCUAAUACCGCAUAACACUUACGAGUCAAAGCAGCAAUGCGCUUGAAGAGGAGUUCGCGGCAGAUUAGCUGGUUGGUGAGGUAAUGGCUCACCAAGGCGAUGAUCUGUAUCCGGCCUGAGAGGGCGCACGGACACACUGGAACUGAAACACGGUCCAGACUCCUACGGGAGGCAGCAGUGGGGAAUCUUGCACAAUGGAGGAAACUCUGAUGCAGCGAUGCCGCGUGAGUGAAGAAGGCCCUUGGGUUGUAAAG